rnacentral:lncRNA from 1 species
AUCUCCUCCCAUCACCACGCCAACCUCUCUUCCUCCUCUCUUUCCAACACCCAAGGGUUGGGCAUCCCAUCAUCCAACACAUUCAAGUUGAGGGUGAUCUCUUCUACAGUAAGAAAUAGAGAGAAAAACUGCAGUUCAAGCAUUGAGAUCACGGUCAAAGAUCAAGAGUUGAUCAAAGAUCUAAAAGGCUAAGAUUUUUUUUUAGAGAAGAUGAAUCUAUAACGAGAAGAAAGGUUUAAGAUUGAUCCAGGU